AGGACGAACGCUGGCGGCGUGCUUAACACAUGCAAGUCGAGCGGAAAGGCCCUUCGGGGUACUCGAGCGGCGAACGGGUGAGUAACACGUGAGUAAUCUGCCCCUAGCUCUGGGAUAGCUCCGGGAAACCGGGAUUAAUACUGGAUACGACCACCUUAGACAUCUUUUGUGGUGGAAAGAAUUUCGGCUAGGGAUGAGCUCGCGGCCUAUCAGCUUGUUGGUGGGGUAACGGCCUACCAAGGCGACGACGGGUAGCCGGCCUGAGAGGGCGACCGGCCACACUGGGACUGAGACACGGCCCAGACUCCUACGGGAGGCAGCAGUGGGAAUAUUGCGCAAUGGGCGAAAGCCUGACGCAGCGACGCCGCGUGGGGGAUGAAGGCCUUCGGGUCGUAAACCGCUUUCAGCAGGGACGAAAUUGACGGUACCUGCAGAAGAAGGCCCGGCCAACGUACGUGCCAGCAGCCGC
rnacentral:rRNA from 1 species